GCGCUGAGUUUGUGGAGAGACAUAGUCGCACCCGGGUCGACGCCGGUCAGACCCCAGAAAGAGCAGAGGAGACCCGGCGCGCCCGGGAGAGGCAGCACGGCCGCGCCCUCGCCUACCUCUGCCGGAUCCGGAGCGCAGAAAAGUUUUCAUUUGCCGUGUGCCACCCCCAGAGAGCCGUUAUACGCUCGCACCCUGUGCAUGCAAACCCAGCAGUCUUGGCGUCUGACGUGCUGUGUGUAGCUGCUGCUUGUGUUGAAUCCCCAGCCCUUCGCUGCGGCACAAGGUGACAGGAUGUCCCAGUGGUAUGAGCUUCAGCAGCUUGACUCCAAAUUCCUGGAGCAGGUUCACCAGCUCUAUGACGACAGUUUUCCCAUGGAAAUCAGACAGUAUCUGGCACAGUGGCUAGAAAAGCAAGACUGGGAGCAUGCCGCCAAUGAUGUUUCAUUUGCUACCAUCCGUUUUCACGACCUCCUGUCGCAGCUGGAUGAUCAAUACAGUCGCUUUUCUUUGGAGAAUAAUUUUUUGUUGCAGCAUAACAUAAGGAAAAGCAAGCGUAAUCUUCAGGAUAAUUUUCAGGAAGACCCAAUACAGAUGUCUAUGAUCAUCUGUAACUGUCUGAAGGAGGAAAGAAAGAUCUUGGAAAAUGCCCAGAGAUUCAAUCAGGCUCAGGCAGGGAAUAUUCAGACCACUGUAAUGUUAGACAAACAGCAGGAGCUUGACAGCAGAGUCAGAAAUGUGAAGGACAAAGUUAUGUGUAUAGAGCAUGAAAUCAAGACCCUAGAAGAUUUACAGGAUGAAUAUGACUUUAAAUGUAAAACCUUGCAGAACAGAGAACAUGAAACCAAUGGUGUGGCAAAGAAUGAUCAGAAACAGGAACAGAUGUUACUCCAGAAGAUGUAUUUAAUGCUUGACAAUAAGAGAAAGGAAGUAGUUCACAAAAUAAUAGAGUUGUUGAAUGCCACCGAACUUACCCAGAAAGCCCUGAUUAAUGAUGAACUUGUGGAAUGGAAGCGGAGACAGCAGAGUGCCUGUAUCGGGGGACCCCCCAAUGCUUGCCUUGAUCAGCUGCAGAACUGGUUCACCAUAGUGGCAGAGAGUCUGCAGCAGGUUCGUCAGCAGCUUAAAAAGCUUGAGGAGUUGGAACAGAAAUACACCUAUGAACAUGACCCUAUCACAAAAAACAAACAAGCGUUAUGGGACCGCACCUUCAGCCUCUUCCAGCAGCUCAUUCAGAGCUCAUUUGUGGUGGAAAGACAGCCCUGCAUGCCAACUCAUCCUCAGAGGCCAUUGGUCCUGAAGACUGGAGUACAAUUCACUGUGAAGUUGAGAUUGUUGGUGAAAUUGCAAGAGCUGAAUUAUAACUUGAAAGUCAAAGUCUUAUUUGAUAAAGAUGUGAAUGAGAGAAAUACAGUAAAAGGGUUUCGAAAGUUCAACAUUUUGGGCACUCACACGAAGGUGAUGAACAUGGAGGAGUCCACCAAUGGAAGUCUGGCGGCAGAAUUCCGACACCUGCAACUGAAAGAACAGAAAAACGCCGGUGCCAGAACCAACGAGGGUCCUCUCAUCGUUACUGAAGAGCUUCACUCCCUUAGUUUUGAAACCCAGUUGUGCCAGCCUGGUUUGGUCAUUGACCUUGAGACGGCCUCUCUGCCCAUCGUGGUGAUCUCCAAUGUCAGCCAGCUCCCGAGUGGUUGGGCCUCCAUCCUGUGGUACAACAUGCUGGUGGCAGAACCCAGGAAUCUGUCCUUCUUCCUGAACCCGCCUUGUGCACGAUGGUCUCAGCUUUCAGAGGUGCUGAGUUGGCAGUUUUCUUCUGUCACCAAAAGAGGUCUCAAUGUGGACCAGCUGAACAUGCUGGGAGAGAAACUUCUUGGUCCCAGUGCUGGCCCUGAUGGGCUUAUUCCAUGGACUCGCUUCUGUAAGGAAAAUAUAAAUGAUAAAAAUUUUCCUUUCUGGCUUUGGAUUGAAAGCAUCCUUGAACUCAUUAAAAAACACCUGCUCUGUCUCUGGAAUGAUGGGUGUAUCGUGGGCUUUAUCAGCAAGGAGCGAGAGCGGGCUCUGCUGAAGGACCAGCAGCCGGGGACAUUCCUGCUGCGGUUCAGUGAGAGCUGCCGGGAAGGGGCCAUCACGUUCACAUGGGUGGAGCGGCCCCAGAAUGGAGGUGAAUCUUGCUUCCAUGCGGUUGAACCCUACACAAAGAAAGAACUUUCUGCUGUUACUUUCCCUGACAUUAUUCGCAAUUACAAAGUCAUGGCCGCUGAAAAUAUUCCAGAGAAUCCCUUGAAGUUUCUGUAUCCAAAUAUUGAUAAAGACCAUGCCUUUGGAAAGUACUACUCCAGGCCAAAGGAAGCCCCAGAGCCUAUGGAACUUGAUGGCCCUAAAGGAACAGGAUAUAUCAAGACUGAACUGAUUUCUGUGUCUGAAGUUCACCCUUCUCAACUUCAGACCACAGACAACCUUCUUCCCAUGUCUCCUGAGGAGUUUGACGAGGUGUCUCGGAUAGUGGGCGCCGUAGAAUUUGACAUGAUGUAGACAAAAGAGGCUCUCCAAAACUAUGAAACUUGACUAAGAUGAAGUAGUUAGUAAAUGAGGGAACGAAUAUUUGAAUCCACCUGGGGUGUCGCUGGACUGCGUGUUCUUGUCUACUCUCCUGGAAUGCCCCCCCACAGAAAGCUGACCUCUGAUUCAUUCAAAACCUGCACCCAAGAGAAGCUGUUUGCACUUGACACUGAAUGAAUGCAGUAUAAGAGCAUGAAUUUUUCUCAUCUUCUCUGGUGACAUUUUUCCUUCCCACCUGUGACUCCCUCCUGCUACUCUGUUCCUUCACAUCCUGUGUUUCUAGGGAAACAAAAGAAAGGCCAACAAAUUCGCUGCAACCUGUUGGUAGCAAGUGGAUUUUUCCCUAAUUCAGAAACAUCUGUUACUCUGAAGGGCUUCAUGCAUCUUAUUGAAGGUAAAAUUGAAAGGCCUUCUCCACAGAGUGGGUUUUACAAAUAAAAAACAUCCAGAUAUACCAAAAGCAUCAGAACUAGAAUGAGAGUCCUUUGGGAAAGGUCAAAUAUUUAGCAGCAUCUAGCAAAUGCCAUGCCUAGAGUCAGUGCUCAAUUGUUAUAGGUGGUUGGGUAGAUCACACGGUUAUUUAGGCAACUGCUUCAUGCAGGAUUGGCAUAUUUCUCUUCUGGAGAAUUCUUAUUUGUUCUCUCUGCUUUAAAUGUGGCUAGAAGUUUUCCAGUGGUUUGCCUAUGAAAUAGUGCAAAGUUAAGUUUACACAGAAUUACAUCACCUCUUUAUUGAAGGUAGCCAUCCCGUAUCUGGGCAGAGGAUAAAAGUUGUGUUAUUAUAUCUUCCACACUAGCCAUUGAAAGCUAGAGACAAAUUCUCUCUCGGGAGAAUUAGUUUUUCUCUUUGUUAUGGCUUUAUGAUACUGGCUAAUAUCAAAGGGAAGGAAGUAAACUUUCCCAAUUCGUGAGUAGUGUUUUCCUUUUAAACUUUAAUAUCCAAAGCUGAAUAUAUUCUGCCUCCAUCACGGUCACUAGUAAAUGAAAUUGUCUUCACAGUUCUGUCAAGGGAGCCAAACUAUUAACAGCUCUCUUAAGGUAAAUCCUGUUAUUUUUCAAAAAGUUGAAAUUAAUUGUAGAUGUAGACAAACUCCGAAAUUUAUUGCAUGUUUCUUAAAUGGGUUCACUUGUCUUUAUUGUUUUUAGCUGGUAUUUAGUCUUAGUCAUAAAAUUUUCAAAUUGAGAAGAGAAAAUAGUAACGGACAAAUCAUUAACCAGAGAUUAUGAGAAUCAGAUAAUUUGAAAACUCAUCCUGUGUAACUGCAUUGAGAAUUGCGUAUCUUUCACUGAUGAAUGUGUUUCUCUCACAAAUACAUUGCAAAUGGUU